GGUCCGCGGGCGCGCGCUCCCGAAGUCCCGCCUCGCCCGCUGAGCCGGCUUGUAAGCGCUGCGGAGAUUGGGCUAGAGGCGGAGGCCUGGGCCGGGUCGGAGGCGCUGGGUCCUUCUGGCACUCCUCUGGUGGACCGCCCCCAUCAGCCACGCUUGCCCUGCUCUCCAGUGAUCUGUGGCUCCUGGCUCCGUAGUCUUGCGGACAGCUCUUUUUGCUGGGAAGAUGUUUCUGGUGGGCCUGACAGGGGGCAUUGCCUCAGGCAAGAGCUCAGUGAUCCAGGUGUUCCAGCAGCUGGGUUGUGCGGUGAUUGACGUGGACGUGAUGGCCCGGCACGUCGUGCAGCCAGGAUACCCUGCCCACCGGCGCAUCGUAGAGGUCUUCGGCACUGAGGUCUUGCUGGAGAACGGCGACAUAAAUCGCAAGGUCCUGGGGGACCUGAUCUUUAACCAGCCUGACCGGCGGCAGCUGCUCAACGCCAUCACCCACCCUGAGAUCCGCAAGGAGAUGAUGAAGGAGACGUUCAAGUACUUCCUCCGGGAGCCCCGUACCAGCCCCAGAGGAAAGAAGCACGUUCCCUCAGCUCUUAAGGAGGCUGACAGUUUAAUGAGAAGAGACACAUGAGGCUUUCAGGCCAUGAGCCCAGGAAGUAAGUUGGUUUUUCUAGUAGGGAUGGGAGUAAUAAGAGCUGGUGAAUAAUGGAGCCAUAGAUCUGAGUUCAAAUCCCAA
rnacentral:sRNA from 1 species